GGCGUGCUUAACACAUGCAAGUCGAACGAAGAGCGAUGGAAGCUUGCUUCUAUCAAUCUUAGUGGCGAACGGGUGAGUAACGCGUAAUCAACCUGCCCUUCAGAGGGGGACAACAGUUGGAAACGACUGCUAAUACCGCAUACGAUCUGACCUCGGCAUCGAGGAUAGAUGAAAGGUGGCCUCUAUUUAUAAGCUAUCACUGAAGGAGGGGAUUGCGUCUGAUUAGCUAGUUGGAGGGGUAACGGCCCACCAAGGCGAUGAUCAGUAGCCGGUCUGAGAGGAUGAACGGCCACAUUGGGACUGAGACACGGCUCAGACUCCUACGGGAGGCAGCAGUGGGGAAUCUUCCGCAAUGGACGAAAGUCUGACGGAGCAACGCCGCGUGAGUGAUGACGGCCUUCGGGUUGUAAAGCUCUGUUAAUCGGGACGAAAGGCCUUCUUGCGAAUAGUUAGAAGGAUUGACGGUACCGGAAUAGAAAGCCACGGCUAACUACGUGCCAGCAGCCGCGGUAAUACGUAGGUGGCAAGCGUUGUCCGGAAUUAUUGGGCGUAAAGCGCGCGCAGGCGGAUUGGUCAGUCUGUCUUAAAAGUUCGGGGCUUAACCCCGUGAUGGGAUGGAAACUGCCAAUCUAGAGUAUCGGAGAGGAAAGUGGAAUUCCUAGUGUAGCGGUGAAAUGCGUAGAUAUUAGGAAGAACACCAGUGGCGAAGGCGACUUUCUGGACGAAAACUGACGCUGAGGCGCGAAAGCCAGGGGAGCGAACGGGAUUAGAUACCCCGGUAGUCCUGGCCGUAAACGAUGGGUACUAGGUGUAGGAGGUAUCGACCCCUUCUGUGCCGGAGUUAACGCAAUAAGUACCCCGCCUGGGGAGUACGA
rnacentral:rRNA from 1 species